ensembl:lncRNA
CAUCACUGUCUGGGAAAUAACAUACGCGUGUUUACAGACUGUGUGACUGCUCUAAUGUGGGGAGAAAAACACAGAGCAGGGUUUGUCAGGACAUCAGCUCCUGUCACGAGCAAUUAAUGAAGACUCCCGUGCCUUUGGAUGUUUUUGGAUUUCUAGCAGAAGAAAGCUGGAGAUCCGUGCAUCCUCUUAAGACCAAGUGUCUGUGUGAAGACAGAACACAUCAGUGGGAUCAUGAUGAAGGUCUUCUUCAAGACCUCACUGAAGUGGACGGAUCGGGGAGAGCGUGCUUUCAUGACAAUGUCAUCGGCGGGACUUUUCCAUGUGAGCAGAGCUCAUUUUAGGUUAAUACGGU